rnacentral:lncRNA from 1 species
CCCGAGAGCUGCCCGAGAAGACGAUAAUUCACAGGAGGAGGAGUUAAUAAUUCACAAGAGGUGGAUCACACAGUCCCCCUUUCUUUUGGUUACAGGACCCUUAUUUCAUGAGGCUGUCCAGUCCUUCCUUGGCGUACCCAUAUGAUUCAUGGACACCAAGACCAGAAUCUUGGUGACUGACAUGAGACAGAACAUGGAUUGAACCUCAUCUAGUCAGACUAUAGCCCAUGUUUUCUCAUUAUAUCUGUGAAAAUCAAACUUUUCCUUCUGGCAGUGAAGUAUGUUGCCUAGAGAGGUUCUGUGUUAGUUACCUGCUGAUCUGGAAGAGCUCCUUCCCUUUGAGAAUUAUGUGUUCUGUGAUUCCACAUUGUUGGCCAAAGCACUGGGACUUGGAAUUCUUUUGUGUACACCAUGCUGAAAUUCUUCUUAAAUAAUAUACUUUAACUUCAUGACCUCAUGAAAAAGAGACCUUCAAGCAAAGAGAAUUGCUGUCUAGCAGGGAACAGGGAGAGAAGGCUGUGACUGAACAUUGACAAAUGUGCAAAUGAGAAAAGAAAGUGAGAAAGUCAUUUGAGAUACAGAAAAAACAAGCCAUUUUGCAAGUGUGUACUUUCUUGCUUAAGCAACCAAAAGUUCAGUGAACAUUUAAUAAUGGUAGUGGUAGUUAACUAUUCCCAAUUUUAAAAGGCUGAUUUAUUUCAAAUAAAUAUCUGGAGGAAAAAGAGUUUAUUUGUUUUGUUUUUGAGACAAGGACUCAUUAUGUAGUUCAGGAUGGCCUUGAACUCACUAUGUAGCCCAGACUUGCCUUGAACUCAUGACGAUCCUCCUGCCUCAGCCCCCGGAGGGUUGGGGUUACAGGACUGCACUGCCAAGCUUGGCUGAAAGAGUUUAUUUGUGAUAUUUUCUAUAACCUCACAUCAAUUUGUGUUGGUGACUUUAUUAAAUACUUAUUUCUCUUGAUAUAUUUUAGGGUGCAAGUAAUAGAAUAUCAAACAAAAGAGGCUUAAAUAAUAAAGAUCUUUUAU